rnacentral:lncRNA from 1 species
CUAAUUUGGGUAGAUCCACCGUUUCUUACAAGACAUCCGAGAAUUGUUAAUUGCGAGACAACAAUCCUGUGACCAGUUUGAUUUUUUUUUCGAACUUUACUGAACGCUCUCAGCAGUGGACGGAUUAGAUACCCUGCCCAUCAAAUCAAUUCGGCAAAAGAAAAUGGCUCUGAUGGUGAGUGUACUUUUGGUUGUGUUUGUCCGGAUGCAAGAGAGAGAACAGACAGAGCGAAUCUUCCAUUGAUCAUCAGCACACGACAUGAAUUUUUUUUCUUAUCAAUUUCCACCAAUCUUUGCAGGGUAAAAACAUCUCUGGAGAUGCUCUAACAUCCCAAUCCGUCUCUCUGCUAUUGUCUUUAAGCGCCAAAACUUACUGUUCUUUGAGCUCUUUUCAUGUACACAAACUCAGCACCGAGCUCAAGCUUUGUUUUUUUUACUACUACUACUACCCUGUACUACAGUACUAUGAAAUAUCGUAUCACACAUUCACAGCUGAGAUAUGACUGGAAACUCUGAGCAGAAUCCAAGCUCACAAGUUUCAAG